rnacentral:sRNA from 1 species
GCCAGGCAUGGUGGCUCAUGCCUGUAAUCCUAGCACUUUGGGAGGCUGAGGCAGGUGGAUCACCUGAGGUCAGGACUUCCAGACCAGCCUGGCCAACAUGGUGAAACCCCGUCUCUA